UAUACCUUAGUAUAGGAUGUACAGAAAUUUUUGAUAUUUCAAGUGGAAGUUAAAUUCUUCUAGGUAUAA
rnacentral:tRNA from 1 species